UACGGAGGGAGCGAACGUUGUUCGGAUUCACUGGGCGUAAAGGGUGUGUAGGCGGUCUAGCAAGUCUGAGGUGAAAUCCCCCGGCUCAACCGGGGAGCUGCCUUGGAGACUGCAAGACUUGAGUGCGUGAGAGGAGACUGGAAUUCCUAGUGUAGCGGUGAAAUGCAUAGAUAUUAGGAGGAACACCAGUGGCGAAGGCGAGUCUCUGGCACGCAACUGACGCUGAGACACGAAAGCCAGGGGAGCGAACGGG
rnacentral:rRNA from 1 species